rnacentral:rRNA from 1 species
AUGGACUUAGAGGAUUUUACAACUGCUUGCAAACUCCCGCAGUGGGGUAAUAUUAAUGAUCCUCACAAAUCUGAAUUUAGAGAUUUCCUUGCUAGUAUUACUACGGGAGAAUCCAGGGACAUAGCACAAGCUACCAUAGGGACCAUUCAUUUUCCUGCUAUACAUUAUUUUGCUCUCUUCAUUGGUAGAUGCAUUAACGGUAAAGAUGAAGCAUGUCACAUGUGUGUCCCUGAUCUGUGUUCCCUCAAGAGUGUUGUGUUCGGAUAUAAAGGUUAUAACUUGGGGGCAAUAGUUGCAUGUAGGUUGCAGAAUAAUAGUAGAAAGGGAGAUUUAUUUGGAGGAAUUUAUGCAACCCUGAUACGUCCAUUUUGCAUCAUGCUUUUAUAUCGAUAUUUAUUGCAUUAUGGACUGUUGUUACACUUUAUAUCUCAAUACUUAUGGCUAUUCUCUCUUAUUUUACAAGGUUUAUCAUGA